CUGAAAGCCUCUGUGCACCACAUCCAGAGUAACCGUGGGGACAUCUACGCUGGGACAGUGGCCUCCCAGCUUCUCCUGGGCAUGCAGCAUCCAGCUCCUCUGGCAGAGGUCUCCUCCUCCCUGAAGGCCAUGGUGAAGCGCGUGUAUGAAGUGAUUGACACGCAAGUGCAAGAUGUCAAUGAAUGCUCCUAUGCUGAAUUCAAUGCUUGCCCUGAGAAAAGCAGCUGUGUGAACCUGGAGGGCUAUUACAGCUGCCACCCCCAGCACGGACAUGCCACUGUCAUCCCUCACUGGCUGAGCCCAAGGAAGGAAGGCAUUGUAGCAUCUACUCCAAGUUCAGUAAAUGCUGUUAACACUGGCAGUACCUCUCCUUCUGUAAGGAAAUCAAGUCUCUUGUCUAUAACCAACCAAUCUACAGAUGCUGAGUGCUGUAAGUAACCUUGGAUUUUAAUAAAUGUUUUCUUGAUUUA
rnacentral:lncRNA from 1 species